UCUGACAAGGCCGCCAAUGUUCACGGAGCUCCGCUAUUUAAAGGCUCCCGCGUGCUUACGUGUGGGCCAAUCAGCAGGUGUUCUGCCAACAUUCUCGCCCAAAAGAAAAAAGAAAAGAAAACGAAAAAAGUAUUUUGUUCAGCGGUUGGAACGUACGGGAUUUUUUCAUCGGCAAAAAAUAAGAAACAGAUGACUUAUGGACCUGUAAACUUAAAAAAAUUCUAAUAAAAAACCUAAUAUGGAAUUUUGAAAAAAAAAAAAAAAGGAGUGUAUUCAGUUCAUGCGUCCAAUACAACCACCAAAACACA